GGUGAGAUGGCCGAGUUGGUUAUGGCGCCAGGUUAAGGUUUUGCGGGCUCCGGCCUUGCUUCUUAACAUAAUUCCUGGUCACGUUUCGUGGCGUGGGUUCGAGUCCCACUCUCAUCA